UCAGUGGGCCGGGUGACCGCUGGGGAGCUUGCUCCGCAGAGGAAAGUCCGGACUCCUGCGGGCAGGGUGCCAGGUAACGCCUGGGCGGCGUGAGCCGACGGAAAGUGCAACAGAAACAUACCGCCUGUCUUCGGAUGGGUAAGGUUGAAAUGGUGCGGUAAGAGCGCACCGGCGGGCUGGCAACAGUCCGGCCGUGAAAACCCCACCCGGAGCAAGGCCAAAUAGGGGAGAAGGGCUGCCCGCCCCGUUCGUACUCCCGGGUUGGCUGCUAGAGCGCCGCAGCGAUGCGGCGUCGAGAGAAAUGGUCACACAGCCCUUCGGGGUGGACAGAAUCCGGCUUACAGGCCCGCUGAACCU
rnacentral:RNase_P_RNA from 1 species